GGAAGAAGAUCUGACGGUACUUGAUGAAUAAGCCACGGCUAAUUCCGUGCCAGCAGCCGCGGUAAUACGGGAGUGGCAAGCGUUAUCCGGAAUUAUUGGGCGUAAAGCGUCCGCAGGCGGUUUUGAAAGUCUGUUGUUAAAGCGUGGAGCUUAACUCCAUUUCAGCAAUGGAAACUACAAGACUAGAGUGUGGUAGGGGCAGAGGGAAUUCCCGGUGUAGCGGUGAAAUGCGUAGAUAUCGGGAAGAACACCAGUGGCGAAGGCGCUCUGCUGGGCCAUAACUGACGCUCAUGGACGAAAGCCAGGGGAGCGAAAGGGAUUA
rnacentral:rRNA from 1 species